UUCAGGACCAAGGAGAGCUCCACCCGUGACGCUGCGGUUGCUCCUUGCCGGCGCCGGCGAGAAAAGAUUCGGUUUCACCGGAUCAUCGAAAAUGCCACCCUACUUGCUCCAUCUUACUCAUCAUUUCCAAAUUAGCUGAACUUGAUUGAGCCAGAUCAGGCUGCAGCCCUCGUGCACCAAGGCAAAGAGAAAUUAGUCACUGCACUCCCUCCUUGGCAAACUCCUGCUUUUAAGAGCAUGGCUUUGUGCAUCUGAAUCGAGCAGAGGCCACGUCUCUCCUGAUGCUUUGUGUGGACUCUUGAAUUCAAUUUCCCACUCUUUGUCUGCAAACUCCAGUCAAUAGGAAACGAUGAAGAUGUCCCCAGGGGAAGAGGGGUGUCUUUGUUUGUAUUAAUUCAGGAACAUUUUCUCUCUCCUUAUUCCCUGAUGCAACAGAGGAAAGCUGGAAAGCAGCUCACUGAUGAUUUCUUACUGAGGGUCAGUCUGUGAUCCCUGUGCUUCCAGAGAGAAAUUAUUUACUGCAGGCUGGGCUCUUUCUGCAGAGCUCAGGGAAGGGCUGGGUAAAAUUCAGGCCCCAGAAGAGACUUUUGAAACCUUGAUAGACAAGAGUGUGCCCAGUUUUUCACCUGUUCCUCUCAUACAUAAAAUGUCUCACUUCAGUUACAACCUUCCACCUUGCCCAUGUUGAGAAGGUGAGGGAUCAUUGUCAGUAAUGGAGGGGUUAUUUGCUGGAGGACAACUGGGAAACUGGGGAGUUCAAAAGAUACAAACAGCACUGUAGAAGCAUCUGUGUGAAUGAAAUAGAAUAAUCCCCAAAAAUGCCCCCAGAAUAAAGUUAAGGAGGAAAUGGAACCACCCAGGACUUCCAGAUGGGAGUGACUUGUAGAAGUUUGCAUCCAAAUUCAAAUUUCUCAAGUGGGAAUUCUUAACUCUGAAUCACAUGUGAAUCU